rnacentral:rRNA from 1 species
CCCUACGGGGGAAAGCAGGGGAUCGCAAGACCUUGCACUAUUGGAGCGGCCGAUAUCGGAUUAGCUAGUUGGUGGGGUAACGGCUCACCAAGGCGACGAUCCGUAGCUGGUUUGAGAGGACGACCAGCCACACUGGGACUGAGACACGGCCCAGACUCCUACGGGAGGCAGCAGUGGGGAAUUUUGGACAAUGGGGGAAACCCUGAUCCAGCCAUCCCGCGUGUGCGAUGAAGGCCUUCGGGUUGUAAAGCACUUUUGGCAGGAAAGAAACGUCAUGGGUUA